AACUUGGCAGAGAUGCCUUGGUGCCUUCGGGAACGCUGAGACAGGUGCUGCAUGGCUGUCGUCAGCUCGUGUUGUGAAAUGUUGGGUUAAGUCCCGCAACGAGCGCAACCCUUAUCCUUUGUUGCCAGCGAUUCGGUCGGGAACUCAAAGGAGACUGCCGGUGAUAAACCGGAGGAAGGUGGGGAUGACGUCAAGUCAUCAUGGCCCUUACGAGUAGGGCUACACACGUGCUACAAUGGCGCAUACAAAGAGAAGCGACCUCGCGAGAGCAAGCGGACCUCAUAAAGUGCGUCGUAGUCCGGAUCGGAGUCUGCAACUCGACUCCGUGAAGUCGGAAUCGCUAGUAAUCGUGGAUCAGAAUGCCACGGUGAAUACGUUCCCGGGCCUUGUACACACCGCCCGUCACACCAUGGGAGUGGGUUGCAAAAGAAGUAGGUAGCUUAACCCUCGGGAGGGCGCUUACCACUUUGUGAUUCAUGACUGGGGUGAAGUCGUAACAAGGUAAGCGUAGCGAG
rnacentral:rRNA from 1 species